rnacentral:lncRNA from 7 species
CGUUUUUCAGAGGGGCUACCUUCAGAGGAUGCUUUUCACCUGGCUGAUGCUUUCCACUUCUCUCCCUUGUAUACAAAGUUUUCUAGGAUGGGUUUCUACUGCUGAGAGAUCCUGAUGUGCUUUGUAAAUGGAAAUUCAGAAGGGAGCUGACUUUCGAGAUCAACAGAUCAAACAUACAGCUAGGACUUUCAGUCCAUUGAACUAUAAUGCAUAUGAAGACUCGACUACAAAUGUGUUGCUUGAAGAGAGCAACAAGUAUAAAAGCGAUGUUACCCAGGCCGCAAUGUGCACUCUGCGAUAUCAGGUUGAUAUGGAUACACAAGAAGAGAUGGCUGUGACUGAGCUUCUCCAGAAGUUUACUGUUCUGUUUGUCUUGUUUUAAUCAUUGCACUGGGAUGGGUGAACGUUUUGCUUGAACCUUCUUUUUGAGAGGAGAAUUAGAAGAAAGCAUCAACUUUGUCAGAUGUGCUGGCACACAGAAAGAAGGACCUGUCUCUGGGGCUGCCCCUCUUCUUUGUCCUUUCUUGAGUAGAUAACAGUUGAAGGAAGUGCUCACGUCAGAUGGCACACUGAGCCCCUUAUAUAUUACAGUGCAGAUUUCCCCUGACUUUAAAGUUUGUGUUGCAUACUGUGAGCUGGAUGGUGAUUUUUAUUAAGUGGUCAGACAUAUUCUUUAGUUCCUUAUUUCAUGAGACAUCUCUAUGAGUAUAGAGCACUGGUCUCUCUCUGUCAAAUUCAUACAUUUGCCUGUCAUUAGGAUACAGCUUACUAGUAUUGCUAAUUUUGAGUUAUUAAAGUUCAUGUUGCUGCAGAAACACUUUUGCUUUCAAAAUUACUUCUAUUUCCUUUGGGGCAACUGACUUUUCUGUAUUUUUCAUCAUGCCUCUUAUUUCAUUUUUAAAUGAAUUUCAUAGCUAGGUACAGUACCCUACUGCGCACAAUUAUUGCACCAAUAUAAAAUCUAAACAUCACAAAGUCAUUUCUAAAAUCUAAGCAGUUCCUGGUACUGUUGCAAAAGAAUCAAAGAGAAAAGUCCUUUUUUUUUUUUUUUUUUUGCCUUAAACUGGGUCAUUUACCUGACAUUUAAAAUAUUGCCUUUAAUAUUUCUUUCUACCUCAUUAGAGAAUUAAAUAAUCCAUGAAACAGUGUGCAUUAAAAAUCAAUUCAAAAUAUUAUAAUAUUGCUUUUAAAAAACCCUCACAAAUCUAACAUUACCCUCAGCCAGUACCUCAUAUGUUGGUUAACAGCCAAAUUAAUGGAAUAUUCAUCUGCAGUUUCAUAGAGCUAGCUCUUAUUAUCUAAUUAAAGGUAAAAAUCAGGACAACUAGAGUUGUCUUUUGUAAAUUAAAAAUCCUCUUUUAUGUGUUUUGGAGGUGUCAGCUUUAUUGUAAGGACUAAUUAGGCUUUUUACAACAUCCUGGUACUGGGGAGGAAGUGGUAUUUUAUGUAGUUUAAAGAUUAUUAGGUGUCUUUAGCACAUUGGGGUUAGAUUUUUCAGGAUUCCCUCAGUGCUUACCUGCUGUUGCAAGAGGAAGUAGUUUAUUGUCUUGUAAGAAGAAAUUGGGCUUUUUGAAGAAUUAAAUGCUUGUCUGUAACACAAGCUUACAAUUAAGAAAGCCACUGAAAAGAACCAGCAAAUUGUUGUAAACGUGGUGGACACCAUCUGCUCUCAUCCACUUACACAUCUCAGCGGCAGAGUGCAAAUUCUAACUCACCCGUUGUUUGUCGAGGGCCGUUCAUUUCAGUUAACUCUCUGAAAUACUCUGAAGAAUUUCUGCUGCUCAUCUCCCUUGCCCCAGCAUAAACCCACAUAACUCUACUUUGUUUUCCUUAAAAAACCUAAUUAGCAGAAAAACUGGUUUAAGAGUGUGUGUUUUUCUGUAAUAAAAAUGGGCUGCCCUAUUCAUAUGCAGACUAUGCUACACUUUAUUGAAGAUCUCAUGAUUUACAAAUCAGGUUUAGAUUCUGACAAGGAUGGUGGGGACCAACUUGUGAUCAUACCUUUCUUUUUAAAGAUUAUUCUGUAGUCUGUAAGAACUUACCUAUAAUCACAGUGUUGCCCCAUGCUCAUUUUUUGCUUCUUUGGUCUACCUGUUUUUGUGUGCAUUCAUGUCUUGAGUGUGAAAUCCCUUUUUCUUGUUAACACUUUAAAUGUCUAACCAGAAAAAGAAAAUCAAAUACGCACAUGUUCACUUUAUAUUUUUAAUGAUAGAGAAACUGAGGUAAAAUUAUGUUAAAAGUAGUGCCAGUUGUGACAGUAACAAAAUUUAGCGCUCUCUAUUGUAAACUUUGCUCUUUGUGAACAGAAAAUUAGUUGUUAGAUCAUAGAUUUUUCUGGAGCUUUUAUCAUUUGAGUAGAUCAGUAGAUGAAGCACUAUAAAGACUCUAAUCAGUGCCAGUUCUAAAGCCUAAUUUUCUUUAGCAUGUGAAGUUACAAAAAUAUAUCUUUGGCUAAACUGUCUAAACUGAAAUAAAAUGGGAAAGCU